UUUUGGAGUUGAGGGAAAAGAGUACAAUUCAACAAUAUAAAGAUUGAUUGUGAGCUAAUGAGAUAGACAAGACAACCGAUCAUUUAUUAAAUAUCCUUUCAUGCUAGAAACAAACGUAUUAUACACACAAACAGCACACAAAUCACGGUAGUACCGUGGUUACAAACGUGGGUCCGAGUUCGAGUCCUGCUCUGGAGUGACCAGUCCUGUGAGAUGGAGAAAUGAGUUCUAUGUAUAGUUGGCUACAUUCUAUACCUGGAAAUUUCUCCAAAACUGCUU